UGGUGGGUUGCCUUGUCAGGUUGAUUCCGGUAACGAACGAGACCUCAGCCUGCUAAAUAGUCACGGUUGCUUUUGCAGCCGGCCGACUUCUUAGAGGGACUUUUGGCGCCUUAGCCAAAGGAAGUGUGAGGCGAUAACA
rnacentral:rRNA from 1 species